AUGAUAGAGCAACUGCUAGCUAAUCCUUAUGCAGGAGAUGGAACCGAACAUCCUGAUAUGCACUUGAUAUAUGUGGAUGAAAUUUGUGGAUUAAUUAAGCUUGCAGGUUUAACCGGAGAUGAAGCUAAGAAGAAGGUUUUCCCUUUAUCCUUGAAGGGAAAAGCAUUGACAUGGUAUAGGCUAUGCGAUGAUAUUGUAUCUUGGAACUGGAACCUAUUGAAAUUGGAAUUUCACCAUAAAAUUUAUCCUAUGCAUCUAGUUCAUCGUGAUCGGAAUUACAUAUAUAAUUUUUGGCCUCGUGAAGGAGAAAGUAUCGCUCUAGCUUGGGGGAGGCUUAAGUCAAUGUUAUAUUCAUGCCCCAAUCAUGAGCUCUCAAGAGAAAUUAUUAUUCAGAAAUUUUAUGAUCCGCUUUUUCAUAAUGAUCAAUCCACACUCGAUACUUCUUGUGCUGGUUCUUUUAUGAAGAAGACUAUUGAAUUCAGGUGGGAUCUCUUAGAAAGAAUUAAACGCAACUCUGAAGAUUGGGAACUCGAUGAAGGUAAAGAGUCAGGUAUUAAGCUUGAGUUUGAUUGUGUUAAAUCUUUAAUCAAUACCGAUGCUUUUCAAAAGUUUAGCACUAAAUAUGGACUUGACUCUGAGAUAGUAGCCUCUUUUUGUGAAUCAUUUGCUACUCAUGUUGAUCUCCCUAAGGAGAAGUGGUUUAAAUAUCAUCCCCCUAUUAAAUAA
rnacentral:rRNA from 1 species